rnacentral:rRNA from 1 species
AGUGAACGCUGGCGGUAGGCCUAACACAUGCAAGUCGAACGGCAGCACAGUAAGAGCUUGCUCUUACGGGUGGCGAGUGGCGGACGGGUGAGGAAUACAUCGGAAUCUACUUUUUCGUGGGGGAUAACGUAGGGAAACUUACGCUAAUACCGCAUACGACCUACGGGUGAAAGCAGGGGAUCUUCGGACCUUGCGCGAUUGAAUGAGCCGAUGUCGGAUUAGCUAGUUGGCGGGGUAAAGGCCCACCAAGGCGACGAUCCGUAGCUGGUCUGAGAGGAUGAUCAGCCACACUGGAACUGAGACACGAUCCAGACUCCUACGGGAGGCAGCAGUGGGGAAUAUUGGACAAUGGGCGCAAGCCUGAUCCAGCCAUACCGCGUGGGUGAAGAAGGCCUUCGGGUUGUAAAGCCCUUUUGUUGGGAAAGAAAAGCAGCAGGUUAAUACCCCGCCGUUCUGACGGUACCCAAAGAAUAAGCACCGGCUAACUUCGUG